rnacentral:rRNA from 1 species
UGGGGAAUAUUGGACAAUGGGCGAAAGCCUGAUCCAGCCAUGCCGCGUGUGUGAAGAAGGUCUUCGGAUUGUAAAGCACUUUAAGUUGGGAGGAAGGGCAGUAAGUUAAUACCUUGCUGUUUUGACGUUACCAACAGAAUAAGCACCGGCUAACUUCGUGCCAGCAGCCGCGGUAAUACGAAGGGUGCAAGCGUUAAUCGGAAUUACUGGGCGUAAAGCGCGCGUAGGUGGUUUGGUAAGAUGGAUGUGAAAUCCCCGGGCUCAACCUGGGAACUGCAUCCAUAACUGCCUGACUAGAGUACGGUAGAGGGUGGUGGAAUUUCCUGUGUAGCGGUGAAAUGCGUAGAUAUAGGAAGGAACACCAGGGGCGAAGGCGACCACCUGGACUGAUACUGACACUGAGGUGCGAAAGCGUGGGGAGCAAACA